GACGAACGCUGGCGGCGUGCUUAACACAUGCAAGUCGAACGGUGAAGCGCCUUCCUUUUUGGUGGGUGUGGAUGAGUGGCGAACGGGUGAGUAACACGUGCGUAACCUGCCCCCUUCUUCUGGAUAACCGCAUGAAAGUGUGGCUAAUACGGGAUAUUCUGGGCCUGUGGAAUCAUGGGUUUGGGAAAGCUUUUGUUUCGGUGGGGGAUGGGCUCGCGGCCUCUCAGCUUGUUGGUGGGGUGAUGGCCUACCAAGGCGCUGACGGGUAGCUGGCCUGGGAGGGUGGGCGGUCACAGUGGGACUGAAACACGGACAAGACUACUACGGGCAGCAGCGGUGAGGAAUAGUGCACGAUGGGAGGAAGGCUGAUGCAGCGACGCGGCGUGGGGGAUGGCGGCCGUCGGGUUGUGAACCUCUUUCGCGAGUGAAGCAGGGCUGCCUCGUUUGUGGGUGGGUUGACGGUAGCUAGAUAAGAAGCGCCGGCUAACUACGUG
rnacentral:rRNA from 1 species